CGUAUAACCACUAAAUCGCCAUGUUCAAAAUCGCCAAAACGUCCAAUAACACCCUCAAAACAUCCCCAAAAAGAGCUUCAAAAAAAUGGCCGCUAAAAUUUAAAAAAUAAGCCAAAAAACCUUUUUGCAUCAAUAUGAAUUUACAAGAUUAUUCCAGGAUACCAAAUAUUCAAUUUAAAAAAACCCAAAAAAACAAUGAUGUAAUUGUCUAUUUGGGCUAUGAAUAUUUAAUCAAGGGCAAUGGUCAAAAUUACAUUUACCUAAUAUGUAGAUGUAAAUGUGGGGGUCGAGCCAAGCUUUCACUAG